CUACGGGCCGCAGCAGUGGGGAAUAUUGCACAAUGGGCGCAAGCCUGAUGCAGCCAUGCCGCGUGUAUGAAGAAGGCCUUCGGGUUGUAAAGUACUUUCAGCGGGGAGGAAGGGAGUAAAGUUAAUACCUUUGCUCAUUGACGUUACCCGCAGAAGAAGCACCGGCUAACUCCGUGCCAGCAGCCGCGUAAUACGGAGGGUGCAAGCGUUAAUCGGAAUUACUGGGCGUAAAGCGCACGCAGGCGGUUUGUUAAGUCAGAUGUGAAAUCCCCGGGCUCAACCUGGGAACUGCAUCUGAUACUGGCAAGCUUGAGUCUCGUAGAGGGGGGUAGAAUUCCAGGUGUAGCGGUGAAAUGCGUAGAGAUCUGGAGGAAUACCGGUGGCGAAGGCGGCCCCCUGGACGAAGACUGACGCUCAGGUGCGAAAGCGUGGGGGGCAAACAGGAUCAGAUACCCUUGUAGUC
rnacentral:rRNA from 1 species